rnacentral:tRNA from 2 species
UAGGUUCUUGUAGUUGAAUUA